rnacentral:misc_RNA from 1 species
GAUGAAGAACGUAGCGAAAUGCGAUAAGUAAUGUGAAUUGCAGAAUUCAGUGAAUCAUCGAAUCUUUGAACGCACAUUGCGCCCCUUGGUAUUCCGAGGGGCAUGCCUGUUCGAGCGUCAUUAUAACCCCUCAAGCUCAGCUUGGUGUUGGUGCCUGCUGCACUGGCAGCCCUUAAAAUCAGUGGCGGCGCCAUCUGGCUCUAAGCGUAGUAAUUCUUCUCGCUAUGGAGUCCUGGUGGAUGCUUGCCAUCAACCCCCAAUUUUUCUAUGGUUGACCUCGGAUCAGGUAGGGAUACCCGCUGAACUUAAGCAUAUCAAUAAGCGGAGGA